rnacentral:rRNA from 1 species
UGAGGAAUAUUGGACAAUGGGCGCAAGCCUGAUCCAGCCAUGCCGCGUGCAGGAAGACGGUCCUAUGGAUUGUAAACUGCUUUUGCACAGGAAGAAACACUCCCUCGUGAGGGAGCUUGACGGUACUGUGAGAAUAAGGAUCGGCUAACUCCGUG